rnacentral:rRNA from 1 species
GAUGAACGCUGGCGGCGUGCUUAACACAUGCAAGUCGAACGAUGAUGCCCAGCUUGCUGGGUGGAUUAGUGGCGAACGGGUGAGUAAUACGUGAGUAACCUGCCCUUGACUCUGGGAUAAGCCUGGGAAACUGGGUCUAAUACCGGAUACUACUUUCUGCCGCAUGUCAUGGUGGUGGAAAGCUUUUGUUGGUUUUGAAUGGCCUGCCGGCUUUCCGGCUUGUUGGUGGGUUAUGGGCUAACAAGGGGGAGGAGGGUAAGCCGGCCUGAGAGGUGGACCGGCAAAACGGGGACUGAGAAACGGCCAGGACUCCUACGGGAGGAAGAAGGGGGGAAUAUUGCACAAUGGGCGCAAGCCUGAUGCAGCGACGCCGCGUGAGGGAUAACGGCCUUCGGGUUGUAAACCUCUUUCAGUAGGGAAGAAGCGAAAGUGACGGUACCUGCAGAAGAAGCGCCGGCUAACUACGUG